GGUCUCUGGCUGAGCACAUCUCUUAAAUGGAGUAGAUAUGAAGUCUUACGAAUUGAGGGUGUUUCCUCUGCCUUGCAGACAGAGUUGCAGAGAGAUCUUGUCGUCAUCCUCAUCAUCGUCAUCAGAAGAAGAAGGGUGUAACCACGUGGUGCAGAGGAGAGGUGUUUCUACCCUGAGCUGGGAUAUCUCACUAGUCACCCAAGUGUGUCUACCUGACCUGGAACAUCUCCCUAAUUUCCCAGGGAAGCUACCAUGACCUAGUAGGUCCCCUUUAUUCCUCA